AUUGAACGCUGGCGGCAUGCCUUACACAUGCAAGUCGAACGGUAACAGGUCUUCGGAUGCUGACGAGUGGCGAACGGGUGAGUAAUACAUCGGAACGUGCCUAGUAGUGGGGGAUAACUACUCGAAAGAGUGGCUAAUACCGCAUGAGAUCUACGGAUGAAAGCAGGGGAUCGCAGGACCUUGUGCUACUAGAGCGGCCGAUGGCAGAUUAGGUAGGUGGUGGGAUAAAAGCUUACCAAGCCGACGAUCUGUAGCUGGUCUGAGAGGACGAUCAGCCACGCUGGGACUGAGACACGGCCCAGACUCCUACGGGAGGCAGCAGUGGGGAAUUUUGGACAAUGGGCGAAAGCCUGAUCCAGCAAUGCCGCGUGCAGGAUGAAGGCCUUCGGGUUGUAAACUGCUUUUGUACGGAACGAAAAGCCCCGGGUUAAUACCCUGGGGUCAUGACGGUACCGUAAGAAUAAGCACCGGCUAACUACGUGCCAGCCGCCGCGGUAA
rnacentral:rRNA from 1 species